rnacentral:rRNA from 1 species
UACGGGGGGAGCAAGCGUUGUUCGGAUUUACUGGGCGUAAAGGGCGCGUAGGCGGGAUGGCAAGUCGGUCGUGAAAUCCUUCGGCUCAACCGAAGAACGUCGGCCGAUACUGCCGUUCUUGAGGGAUGCAGAGGAGAUUGGAAUUCCCGGUGUAGCGGUGAAAUGUGUAGAGAUCGGGAGGAACACCGGUGGCGAAGGCAGCUCGCUGGGACGUUACUGACGCUGAGACGCGAAAGCGUGGGGAGCAAACAGG